AAUAUGCAUUUGUAUUUUGGAUAUUCAUAAUAUUUGGAAAUAAAAAGUGUCAUGUUUGCUUGUAUUGGGGCCCUGCAUCUUAGGGAGCAAUCCCACGCAGUGCCUGGCGCCAAAUAAAACAUGCACUUUCUAACUCUAAACUGUUAGAGAGUUUUUGUCUGUCUCAGUUGGAAAUCGAUAUUAGAUCGAUAUUCAGAUUUUGGUAAAUCAUAAAGGUACAGAAAUUUGGCAGAAGAUAAAACUGCUUGCAUUCCAACUGGUCCUCAGAUAUCAGAGGUGCUUGUUGCAUCUGGACUUAGUUUCUGAUUUCACCUUAUUUGCAUUCUUAGGGAUGUGAAAGUUAAUAUGCUAAUAGGGCUUAGUGAGAGUCUUGGUGAUUUUGGUCAAAAUGUAUAGUUGAUACAAAUGUAAAAUAAACACUUUUGUCCUCCUCCAUCCACCAAUAUGACCUUAAAGGCUGUCUGACCUUCACCAGAGAAUCUUUGUACCCAUUCUUAUCUCCUUGCAGGACCAGACUCACAAGAAGGCUUGUUAUGCAUGGCAAAGGAGGAGUGAGUCUGAUGGCUCAUCACGGGGUUGUGAGGCCUCUGCUUCACCCCAGACACCCUUCAGGUGUCAGCCUUUCUUGAGGAGAUUCAAGAUCAGCAAGAGGCCCAGCUCAUAUUUUGUUCAACCAGCCUUCAACAGUUCUUCACAAUCAAAGGCAACUCUGUAGACUUUUUUUUCUUUAAAAAGGACACAGUCCACUGCAUUUAAAAUUACUUGGAAUAACUGCAAAAUCAGAUGCUUGCCCUUCAUUAUGGAUGUUGCAUCUAUUUGACUGAAAAAGAUGGGACUGCAUAUAUCCUGUCAUGACUAAACUGGACUCAUCUCCCUGCCUGUCACUCUAAAAUAAAUUGAAUGCAGGUUGAAACAAGUUCAUCAGUGGAAAUCAGAGAAAAUUCAUUGCUUUCACAUAACCAUAACCCAGUGGUUGAGCAUGCUUCUG